UACGUAGGGUGCGAGCGUUAAUCGGAAUUACUGGGCGUAAAGCGUGCGCAGGUGGUUGUUUAAGACAGAUGUGAAAUCCCCGGGCUUAACCUGGGAACUGCGUUUGUGACUGGACAGCUAGAGUGCGGCAGAGGGGGGUGGAAUUCCACGUGUAGCAGUGAAAUGCGUAGAGAUGUGGAGGAACACCGAUGGCGAAGGCAGCCCCCUGGGCCAGCACUGACGCUCAUGCACGAAAGCGUGGGGAGCAAACAGG
rnacentral:rRNA from 1 species